UGGGCAACCUGCCCCCGGCUCUGGGAUAACUCCAAGAAAUUGGGGCUAAUACCGGAUAUGACUGCUGACCGCAUGGUCUGGUGGUGGAAAGAUUUAUCGGCUGGGGAUGGGCCCGCGGCCUAUCAGCUUGUUGGUGGGGUAGUGGCCUACCAAGGCGACGACGGGUAGCCGGCCUGAGAGGGCGACCGGCCACACUGGGACUGAGACACGGCCCAGACUCCUACGGGAG
rnacentral:rRNA from 1 species